CGAGCCCAUGAUAAUAUCCGUCAGUCUCGGUUGGAAUCAUUCAUAGAGUGUAAAGGCAUAAGGGAGCUUGACUGCGAGACCUACAAGUCGAGCAGGGUCGAAAGACGGACUUAGUGAUCCGGUGGUUCCGCAUGGAAGGGCCAUCGCUCAACGGAUAAAAGCUACCCCGGGGAUAACAGGCUUAUCUCCCCCAAGAGUUCACAUCGACGGGGAGGUUUGGCACCUCGAUGUCGGCUCAUCGCAUCCUGGGGCUGUAGUCGGUCCCAAGGGUUGGGCUGUUCGCCCAUUAAAGCGGUACGCUAGCUGGGUUCAGAACGUCGUGAGACAGUUCGGUCCCUAUCCGUCGUGGGCGUAGGAAAUUUGAGAGGAGCUGUCCUUAGUACGAGAGGAACCCAGGAUAA
rnacentral:rRNA from 1 species